rnacentral:misc_RNA from 1 species
GUCAGCCAGGAUUUUAUUUGUCUAAAUAUUCAAUCUUCCAAUUCCAAGUUUAAAAGAGUAACCAAAAGAGAAGAAAUCAAGGCUUUCAAAUUUCAAUCACAUUGUUGCAGUGCAAAAAUGGCAUCCCACGAUCAGUCCUUCAGAGCUGGUGAGGCCACUGGCCGAGCCGAGGAGAAGGGUAACCAGGUGACUGACACCAUGAGGGAGAAGGGCAGAGAAGUGAAGGACAGGACCUCAGAGACAGCUGAACAGACCAAGCAGAAAACAGCAGAAACCGCAGAGGCAACUAAGGAGAAGGCUUAUGAAGGAAAGGAGAAGACCAAGGGGACCUGGUCCUCCAGCAAACUGGGGAGAAAGUGAAGCACGCUGCUCAGAGUGCUGCUGAAACUGUAAAGAGUACGCUUGGGACGGGUCAACAUAACGAUGAUGAGAAUAAGAACCAUACUGGUGGUUAUGAGCAGACUACUACUAACAUGGAAUCCGAGUAUUAGCUAGCCUGGCUUGACACACCAACCAAUGGAAGGUUUCAGCUAGUUUCAUAGGUUUAUUAGAGACUUCGUUUUUCUUUGUUUUAAGUAGUCCUGUCACCACCAUGGCUCUAUAUGUGUACAUGUUGGUGUGUUCUGAGACUUUCUAUGAUUAGUUUUAGCAUUUUACGAGGGAGGUCCAGAAAUAAAAGGGUCUAGUGUCUGGGGCAGCUUCUUAUGAGUUGCUGCCAUUGUAAUUUUAUAUGAAACUUUGUUACGCAAAUAAUGUGCCUAUAAAAAUGUUACUAUUAAUACUUCCCUUCUCUCUGAGU